rnacentral:rRNA from 1 species
CCCUUAGAUGUCCUGGGCCGCACGCGCGCUACACUGAACGGAUCAGCGCGUUUUCCCUUCCCGAGAGGGCCGGGUAACCUGCUGAACCCCGUUCGUGGUAGGGAUCGGGGCUUGCAAUUAUUCCCCGUGAACCAGGAAUGCCCAGUAAGUGCAAGUCAUAAGCUUGCGUUGAUUACGUCCCUGCCCUUUGUACACACCGCCCGUCGCUACUACCGAUUGAACGUUUUAGUGAGGUACUCGGACUGAGCCUCAGAAGAUUCACGUCUUUUGUGCUGCUCGGGAAGAUUCCCAAACUUGAGCGUUUAGAGGAAGUAAAAGUCGUAACA